rnacentral:rRNA from 1 species
GACGAACGCUGGCGGCGUGCUUAACACAUGCAAGUCGAACGGAAAGGCCCUGCUUUUGUGGGGUGCUCGAGUGGCGAACGGGUGAGUAACACGUGAGUAACCUGCCCUUGACUUUGGGAUAACUUCAGGAAACUGGGGCUAAUACCGGAUAGGAGCUCCUGCUGCAUGGUGGGGGUUGGAAAGUUUCGGCGGUUGGGGAUGGACUCGCGGCUUAUCAGCUUGUUGGUGGGGUAGUGGCUUACCAAGGCUUUGACGGGUAGCCGGCCUGAGAGGGUGACCGGCCACAUUGGGACUGAGAUACGGCCCAGACUCCCACGGGAGGCAGCAGUGGGGAAUAUUGCACAAUGGGCGGAAGCCUGAUGCAGCAACGCCGCGUGCGGGAUGACGGCCUUCGGGUUGUAAACCGCUUUCGCCUGUGACGAAGCGUGAGUGACGGUAAUGGGUAAAGAAGCACCGGCUAACUACGUGCCAGCAGCCGCGGUGAUACGUAGGGUGCGAGCGUUGUCCGGAUUUAUUGGGCGUAAAGGGCUCGUAGGUGGUUGAUCGCGUCGGAAGUGUAAUCUUGGGGCUUAACCCUGAGCGUGCUUUCGAUACGGGUUGACUUGAGGAAGGUAGGGGAGAAUGGAGUUCCUGGUGGAGCGGUGGAAUGCGCAGAUAUCAGGAGGAACACCAGUGGCGAAGGCGGUUCUCUGGGCCUUUCCUGACGCUGAGGAGCGAAAGCGUGGGGAGCGAACAGGCUUAGAUACCCUGGUAGUCCACGCUGUAAACGGUGGGUACUAGGUGUGGGGUCCAUUCCACGGGUUCCGUGCCGUAGCUAACGCUUUAAGUACCCCGCCUGGGGAGUACGGCCGCAAGGCUAAAACUCAAAGGAAUUGACGGGGCCCCGCACGAGCGGCGGAGCAUGCGGAUUAAUUCGAUGCAACGCGUAGAACCUUACCUGGGUUUGACAUGGAUCGGGAGCGCUCAGAGAUGGGUGUGCCUCUUUUGGGGUCGGUUCACAGGUGGUGCAUGGCUGUCGUCAGCUCGUGUCGUGAGAUGUUGGGUUAAGUCCCGCAACGAGCGCAACCCUUGUUCACUGUUGCCAGCACGUUAUGGUGGGGACUCAGUGGAGACCGCCGGGGUCAACUCGGAGGAAGGUGGGGAUGACGUCAAGUCAUCAUGCCCCUUAUGUCCAGGGCUUCACGCAUGCUACAAUGGCUGGUACAGAGAGUGGCGAGCCUGUGAGGGUGAGCGAAUCUCGGAAAGCCGGUCUCAGUUCGGAUUGGGGUCUGCAACUCGACCUCAUGAAGUCGGAGUCGCUAGUAAUCGCAGAUCAGCAACGCUGCGGUGAAUACGUUCCCGGGGCU